GAGAGGAAAGAGAGAGAAAUAAUUCACUCUUCUCUCCUAGCCUCCAUUCAUCCAUUCCUCUAUUCAAGCUCUCCACUGUGACAUCCAUUCCUCCAGCAACUUUUCAUUCUCCAUCACCAUGACUCUCCAUCCGCUUCAUCUUCCCCUGCUCCAAGCUCUGCAUCAAUAACUUCUUCCUCUCGGCCCAGCCAGUCCGGUGAUCUCAGUUCCAGCAGCAUCUCAGGCCGACUGCUCCUCCUCAGCACCAGCAGCCUCAGCCUAUCUUCACGGCAGCUCCUCCUAUGCACCAGCGACAGUCCAACAGUGCAGCACCGUGAGCCUCCAGCAGCAGUCCAGCACCUGCAGAGUCCUCGGCCUCCAGUCCCAGCACUUCAUCUUCUCCUGUCCCAUCCGAACACAGCACCAUCUCCACUGUCAAAAACACUGCCCCAAAACCACACCUCUUCACAGCCUUUCCACUGUUGCCAGCAGUUCCUCUCUCAUUUUUUGACUGAAAUCAGUCCUUCCUCUAGCGCCAGGGGACUAAAAAAGGUCAGAGAAAAACAACACUGCCUAUAAUCAUUUCAAGCCUCAGUCCCCAGUUUUGGAAAACUUAUACACUCACACCAGUGCACAUCACAGCCUCCAUUGUUAGCUUAUAUGCUUAACUUCACGCCAUGGAGAAGACGUACAGUAGGGAUGAACAAGAAGAGAACGAUGGUGAAAAAGGCAAAGACCCACAAUGAGUUAGUCCCAUCACCUUUUCAUCUUGUCAAGCACUGCCUCCACUUUGUCUUGCUACUACUAUAAAAAUAAAUAAAUAAAUAAAUAAACUCUCACCACCAGCGUUGCCAAUGGAGAAAUCUUGAAAGCUUCAUGCCAUUAUAAGUUAUCGUAUCCCUCUGAAAGCAAGGCCGGAGGCCUAAAAUUACAGGGAAGAUAUGGCUCGUUUUCAAAAAAAAAGAAGGAAAAUGCAUGAAGUGAGCGUAUGUCUUUUGUUGAUUUUGAGCAGCAAGAAACAGUAAAAUUCUGGGCAAAUAUUUUCUUGUUUGUUUCGUUUUGAUUUGUCAAUAAGCAUUACUUGUAUUUGGGUUGUGUUUUUUAGACCAGGCUUUAUCGCCUUUUGAGUAAUAAAUUUUAGUCUAGGCCUUUUACUUGAGACCAUCCUUCCUUGAAUAAGUUUUUGCCUUUUGAGCUGUGUAUUUGGUUCAUGGGCCCGAGCUGAAAGCACAGCCCAUGUGGCUGGGGCUGAGCCUUUUCGAAGUUAAGGCAGUGUUAGGCCUAGUAGAAACUUUGCAGAGGCAAAAUGCUUUUUUUGUCCUUAUCCCUAGUGAAUUUUUGAGAGCUUUUUUUCAAA